rnacentral:lncRNA from 1 species
CUUUCUCAAUUAACUUUCAUUUCCUUACACCUCCAAAAUAACAAAUAACCUAAUCCUCUAAAAAUCCUUUCAGCCCAGCCGCCACACCCAAACCCCUGCCCCCUUCUCGUCUUCUUCGAACACCCCCGCUGUACCCCCACCCUCCUUCUCUUCUUCAGUCGAGCAACCAACCCACGAACCCCAUCGCACUCAUCGCUGACCACCAUCCCCGUUCUUCUUCAACAAGAAACCACCAUAACCAGCAUUAAACCUCCACCAGUCCGUUACCCCCUUCCGCCAUGACCAUCCAGCCCGCCUCCAGCUUCAACCCGUCGACCAGUCGACCACUCCCCUCCAGUAGCCCUUGAACCAGCAUCCAAUCAACCCCGAAACCUCCAGAAGUUACCCUGUCGUGCUUCGUCUUCAUCAGUCCCUUCCGCCGGUGCUCUGUCAUCAACUUCUCAUGUUUUCCUCCGUCAUUUUUCUGCUGGUCAAGUUGAAACUGAUUUCAAGGUAAAGAUCAACUUGAUUCCUCUUCGAGCUUUCAUCGGACGCAGCCGGUCAACGAGCUCCGAGUCCAAUACCAUUUCCUCCGGUUUGGGUAAAGUCAGUUUUGAAUGUUAGAAAGAUAAGGGAGAGGAUACUCCAAACACUAUAAAUUCUAGUUUGGAUCCUUAGCUUCAAAGAGCUAUUCGGUUUUCUGUUCAUUUCUGGAUCAAUCUCUGGACUUCAAAGUAAUUUAACUCUCAAAUGGCUUCCGAGGGCUGUAAUCUGCCGUUCGAACACAGUCCACGUUUAAUUGGUA